rnacentral:rRNA from 1 species
UACGUAGGCAGCAAGCGUUGUUCGGAAUUACUGGGCGUAAAGAGUGUGUAGGCGGUGCUCUAAGUUUGGUGUGAAAUCUCCCGGCUCAACUGGGAGGGUGCGCCGAAAACUGGAAUGCUUGAACGUGGGAGAGGAAAGCGGAAUUCCUGGUGUAGCGGUGAAAUGCGUAGAUAUCAGGAGGAACACCGGUGGCGAAGGCGGGUCUCUGGGCAACAACUGACGCUGAGGAGCGAAAGCGUGGGGAGCGAACAGG